rnacentral:rRNA from 1 species
CGGUUUGUCGCGUCUGCCGUGAAAGUCCGAGGCUCAACCUCGGAUCUGCGGUGGGUACGGGCAGACUAGAGUGAUGUAGGGGAGACUGGAAUUCCUGGUGUAGCGGUGAAAUGCGCAGAUAUCAGGAGGAACACCGAUGGCGAAGGCAGGUCUCUGGGCAUUUACUGACGCUGAGGAGCGAAAGCAUGGGGAGCGAACAGGAUUAGAUACCCUGGUAGUCCAUGCCGUAAACGUUGGGCACUAGGUGUGGGGGACAUUCCACGUUUUCCGCGCCGUAGCUAACGCAUUAAGUGCCCCGCCUGGGGAGUACGGCCGCAAGGCUAAAACUCAAAGGAAUUGACGGGGGCCCGCACAAGCGGCGGAGCAUGCGGAUUAAUUCGAUGCAACGCGAAGAACCUUACCAAGGCUUGACAUGUGCCAGACCGCUCCAGAGAUGGGGUUUCCCUUCGGGGCUGGUUCACAGGUGGUGCAUGGUUGUCGUCAGCUCGUGUCGUGAGAUGUUGGGUUAAGUCCCGCAACGAGCGCAACCCUCGUUCCAUGUUGCCAGCACGUAGUGGUGGGGACUCAUGGGAGACUGCCGGGGUCAACUCGGAGGAAGGUGGGGAUGACGUCAAAUCAUCAUGCCCCUUAUGUCUUGGGCUUCACGCAUGCUACAAUGGCCGGUACAAUGGGUUGCGAUACUGUGAGGUGGAGCU